AUUGAACGCUGGCGGCAGGCCUAACACAUGCAAGUCGAGCGAGCGGCGGACGGGUGAGUAAUGUAUGGGGACUGCCCGAUAGAGGGGGAUCACUCCUGGAAACGGUAGCUAAUACCGCAUACUAUCGGAUAACCCAUAUGGGAUUAGAUAGUAGGUGAGGUAAUGGCUCACCUAGGCGACGAUCCCUAGCUGGUAUGAGAGGAUGAUCAGCCACACUGGGCGUGGGACACGGCCCAGACUCCUACGGAGGCAGCAGUGGGGAAUAUUGCACAAGUGGCGCAAGCCUGAUGCAGCCAUGCCGCGUGUAUGAAGAAGGCACUAGGGUUGUAAAGUACUUUCAGUCGGGAGGCGUUACCGACAGAAGAAGCACCGGCUAACUCCGUGCCAGCAGCCGCGGUAAUUC
rnacentral:rRNA from 1 species